rnacentral:rRNA from 1 species
UACGUAGGUGGCAAGCGUUGUCCGGAAUUAUUGGGCGUAAAGCGCUCGCAGGCGGUCCUUUAAGUCUGAUGUGAAAUCCCACGGCUCAACCGUGGAAGGUCAUUGGAAACUGGGGGACUUGAGUACAGAAGAGGAAAGCGGAAUUCCAAGUGUAGCGGUGAAAUGCGUAGAGAUUUGGAGGAACACCAGUGGCGAAGGCGGCGGUCUGGGCUGUAACUGACGCUGAGGAGCGAAAGCGUGGGGAGCAAACAGG